UGACUAGCGAGGCUGUAGGAGUGGA
rnacentral:piRNA from 1 species